rnacentral:rRNA from 1 species
CAGUCGCCGCGGUAAUGCGUAGGUGGCAAGCGUUGUCCGGAAUUAUUGGGCGUAAAGGGCUCGCAGGCGGUUUCUUAAGUCUGAUGUGAAAGCCCCCGGCUCAACCGGGGAGGGUCAUUGGAAACUGGGAAACUUGAGUGCAGAAGAGGAGAGUGGAAUUCCACGUGUAGCGGUGAAAUGCGUAGAGAUGUGAAGGAACACCAGUGGCGAAGGCGACUCUCUGGUCUGUAACUGACGCUGAGGAGCGAAAGCGUGGGGAGCGAACAGGAUUAGAUACCCGGGUAGUCCCUGUCUCUUAUAA